rnacentral:rRNA from 1 species
AUGCACAUCGGUGGGUCAAUCCUCAUGAUGGACAAUAUUGCAGACGGGACACUCCAGAUACCAUCACCGCAGAUCAAACCAGAAGCAACCGCACCCGCAAACUCCUCUGCCUCCUUACGGUUCACCCUCUCCCAUACAAACAAGAUGACAGUUCCGAUAAACAUGUCAAUCGCGAAGUAUGCCCCAAUGUAA